GGAGAUCGGGCCUUUGAGGACCCUAACUCGGUAAUGAUCCUUCCGUAGGGGAACCUGCGGAAGGAUCAUUACCGAGUUAGGGUCCUCAAAGGCCCGAUCUCCCAACCCUUUGCUUAUUAUACCUUGUGUUGCUUCGGUAGGUCUGGCUCGUCCUACCGGAGGACCGUAAAACGUCCUCUGGAGAGUGCCUACCGAUAGCCCAAACCAAAAACUCUUGAACAAAACAUGUAUUGUCUGAGUAAACAAAAAAAUUAAAGCAAAACUUUCAACAACGGAUCUCUUGGUUCUGGCAUCGAUGAAGAACGCAGCGAAAUGCGAUAAGUAAUGCGAAUUGCAGAAUUCCAGUGAGUCAUCGAAUCUUUGAACGCACAUUGCGCCCUUUGGUAUUCCGAAGGGCAUGCCUGUUCGAGCGUCAUUUUCACCCCUCAAGCCCCCGGCUUGGUGUUGGACGGUUUGGUUUAGGUACCCCUAGACCCCUCCUAAAGACAAUGACGGCGGCUGUUGAACCCCCGGUACACUGAGCUUCUUAACUGAGCACGUAUCGGAUCUAGGGUUUGGCGGCACCCGGUCUAUACCUUUUUUGCUUACAAGGUUGACCUCGGAUCAGGUAGGAAUACCCGCUGAACUUAAGCAUAUCAAUAAGCGGAGG
rnacentral:rRNA from 1 species